GAUGAACGCUGGCGGCGUGCUUAACACAUGCAAGUCGAACGAUGAAGCCCAGCUUGCUGGGUGGAUUAGUGGCGAACGGGUGAGUCACACGUGAGUAACCUGCCCUUCACUCUGGGAUAAGCCUGGGAAACUGGGUCUAAUACCGGAUAGGAGCGUCCACCCCAUGGCGUGUGUUGGAUAGUUUUAGUGGAUUUGGAUGGACUCGCGGCCUAUCAGCUUGUUUGUGAGGUAAGGGCUCACCAAGGCGACGACGAGUAUCCGGCCUGUGAGGGUGACCGGCCAAACUGGGACGGAGACACGGCCCAGACUCCUACGGGAAGCAACAGUGGGGAAGAUUGCACAAUGGACGCAAUCCUGAGGCAGCGACGCCGCGUGAGGGAUGACGGCCUUCGGGUUGUAAACCUCUUUCAGUAGGGAAGAAGCGAAAGUGACGGUACCUGCAGAAGAAGCACCGGCUAACUACGUG
rnacentral:rRNA from 1 species